AUUGAACGCUGGCGGUAUGCCUUACACAUGCAAGUCGAACGGCAGCAUGGAGAGCUUGCUCUCUGAUGGCGAGUGGCGAACGGGUGAGUAAUGCAUCGGAACGUACCGUGUAAUGGGGGAUAACGCAGCGAAAGUUACGCUAAUACCGCAUACGACCUGAGGGUGAAAGCAGGGGAUCGCAAGACCUUGCGUUAUACGAGCGGCCGAUGUCAGAUUAGCUAGUUGGUGAGGUAAAGGCUCACCAAGGCGACGAUCUGUAGCGGGUCUGAGAGGAUGAUCCGCCACACUGGGACUGAGACACGGCCCAGACUCCUACGGGAGGCAGCAGUGGGGAAUUUUGGACAAUGGGGGCAACCCUGAUCCAGCCAUGCCGCGUGAGUGAAGAAGGCCUUCGGGUUGUAAAGCUCUUUCGGCCGGGAAGAAAUCGCACAGGCUAAUACUCUGUGUGGAUGACGGUACCGGCAUAAGAAGCACCGGCUAACUACGUGCCAGCCGCCGCGGUAA
rnacentral:rRNA from 1 species